GACGAACCGUGCUAACGUUGUUCGGAAUCACUGGGCUUAAAGGGCGCGUAGGCGGGCAUGCAAGUCAGGGGUGAAAGCCCACGGCUCAACCGUGGAAGUGCCUUUGAUACUGCUUGCCUCGAGGGAGGUAGGGGCGUGCGGAACUUCCGGUGGAGCGGUGAAAUGCGUAGAUAUCGGAAGGAACACCGGUGGCGAAAGCGGCGCGCUGGACCUCUUCUGACGCUGAGGCGCGAAAGCCAGGGGAGCAAACGGG
rnacentral:rRNA from 1 species